rnacentral:lncRNA from 1 species
CUGUUUUCUUCUUCAACGGAGGAAGCUGUGCAUUUUGCACCUAAUUUGGAUCAAAGACCAACAAGUCUUUCUUCUUGUUCCUCUAACCAGAGAUAGCUCUCUUUUUUUCACAAAAAUCCCAAAUCAAGGUAAUAGAUUUCUAGGUUUCUGGAGAAGAGCAUUGUGGAUUUUUGGAGGUCUUUCGUUUUUUGCUUACAGAUUUCUGGAGAAGUGCACAGCAACCCAAGGUAAUAGAUUUCUAGGUUUAUUGCAGAUUUUGAUAUUUUCUAUAUUUGGGAUUUAUAAGGUUUAAUCUUCGAAUU